rnacentral:rRNA from 1 species
GAUGAACGCUGGCGGCGUGCCUAAUACAUGCAAGUCGAACGGACGGACGCUGCGCUUGUUGCGCUCAUGUUAGCGGCAGACGGGUGUGUAACGCGUGGAUCACCUACCUGUAUUUCUGGUAUAAUCUCGGGACACCGGCUCUAAUCCCAGAUAAUCUUCUGCACCGCAUGGGUCAAAAGUAAAAUACGGCGUUGCGGUCACUUAUCGCUGGUUCCGCGCUGCAUGAGCUAGUUGGUAAGGUAACGGCUUACCAAGGCUACGAUGCAUAGCCGACCUGAGAGGGUGAUCGGCCACACUGGAACCGAGACACGGUCCAGACUCCUACGGGAGGCAGCAGUAGGGAAUCUUCCGCAAUGGGCGAAAGCCUGACGGAGCAACGCCGCGUGAGUGAUGAAGGUCUUCGGAUCGUAAAACUCUGUUAUUAGGGAAGAACAUAUGUGUAAGUAACUGUGCACAUCUUGACGGUACCUAAUCAGAAAGCCACGGCUAACUACGUG